CACGUGUGCUGAGAUGUCUGCCUCUGAGCUGGCCUCUUACAGACUCCUGAACACUCUCCUGGGUAUCGUCUGGAGGCUCUGCUGAGGGCAGCCUGCCCGGUGACCGCUCCAGGGCUGAGCCAGCAGAACUGCCAGGCCUUGGAGCUGCAGGUGCCACCAUGGAGUCUGACCACUGCUGACCGGACCCAGGCAGGAGGCGCACAGGGGAGAAGGGUGACCCGCACCUGUCGCCAUGGCUUCCCCCAUGGCAGAGAGCCAGCUCCAGAGAAUCAUCCGCGAUUUGCAAGAUGCGGUGACGGAGCUAAGCAAAGAGUUUAAGGAAGCAGGGGAGCCCAUUACGGACGACAGCACCAGCCUGCACAAGUUUUCUUAUAAACUUGAGUAUCUCCUGCAAUUCGAUCAGAAGGAGAAGGCCACCCUUCUGGGCAACAGGAAGGACUAUUGGGAUUACUUCUGCGCCUGCCUGGCCAAGGUGAAAGGAGCCAAUGACGGAAUCCGAUUCGUCAAGUCGAUUCCGGAGCUCCGAACCUCUCUGGGGAAAGGAAGGGCCUUUAUCCGCUACUCCUUGGUGCACCAGAGAUUGGCGGACACCUUACAGCAGUGCUUUAUGAACACCAAGGUGACCAGUGACUGGUACUACGCGAGAAGCCCCUUCCUGAAGCCGAAGCUGAGCUCCGACAUCGUGGGCCAGCUCUACGAGCUCACCGAGGUCCAGUUUGACCUGGCGUCCAGAGGCUAUGACUUGGACGCUGCCUGGCCAACGUUUGCCAGGAGGACGCUGGCCCCUGGCUCUUCAGCUUACCUGUGGAAACCUCCCAGCCGCAGCUCCAGCAUGAGCAGCUUGGUGAGCAGCUACCUGCAGACUCAGGAGAUGGCCUCCAGCCUUGAUGUAAGCAGCCCCCUAAACAACGAGGCGCUCGAGGGCUUUGACGAGAUGCGGCUGGAGCUGGACCAGCUGGAGGUGCGGGAGAAGCGGCUGCAGGAGCAGAUGCAGCAGCUGGAUCGAGAGAACCAGGAGCUGAGGGCGGCGGUUAGCCUGCAGGCCGAGAAGCUGCAGGCGGAGAGGGAGAGGGGCCGCGCCGCUGCCGAGGACAAGGCCCGCCUCACCCACGUGGUGGCCGAGCUCCAGAAGCAGCGGGAGGUCACGCAGGCCGCCCAGAGAGCCGUGGAGGAGUUCCAGAAAUGCCUGCAGGCCCUGGAGCUGGGGGCAGCAGAGAAGGAGGGGGAUUACCGCUCGGCCUUGCGGCAGCUGGAGUCCAUGCUGGAGCCCCUGGUGCAGGAGCUUGAGGCCGCGCGGGACCCGCUGGGCAGGAAGAACCAGUGUUCGGCUGAUGUCCCGGACCGGCUGGGUGCGGCUGAGCAGAAGGCAAAUACGGCACCGGACGCAGAGCUCCUCCCCGGGAACUCGGCCCUGGAGGUCCAGGAGCUGCGGAAGAAGCUUCAAGUCCUGGAAGGAGAGAGCUGCAAGGCGCAGGAGCUCCACAGGCAGCAGAGUGCCCAGCUCGAGCAGCUGGCCCGGGAGCUGGAGCGGAAGGAGGAGGCCCGGGCUGGCCUGGAGCGCCUGCUGAAGGAGAUGGCCCCCGUCCAGGAGGAGCUGGCCGGGAAGGGGCAGGAGGCCGCCCAGCUGCGGCGACAGCUACGGGAGUCUCUAGGCCACCUGAGUUCCCUUGAGCAGGAGCUGGCAGACGUGAGGGAGGAGGAGCGGCAGCGGCGAGAGGAGAAGGAGCUGCUGGAGCAGGAGGCCAGGUCUCUGGCGCGGCAGCUGCAGCUCCUGGAGACCCGGGUGGCCCAGCUGAGCCAGCUCGUGGGGGACCUGGAGGAGCAGAAGAAACAGUUCAUCCGGGACAAAGACCACCUCAGCCAGAAGGUGGGGAUGCUGGAGCAGCUCGCCGUGCAGCGAGGCCCAGAUCCGCCCACGGCAGGGGAGAAGCCCACUGCCCAGGGUCCCCCAGACUCCAGCCUGCGACAGGUCUUUGAGAAGCCAGAGGAGGAGCAGAGAAGCCCCCAGGAGGGCCAGACAGGUGACACCCAGAUGCAAGGGAGCGGCCAGGAGGAAAAGCUCCAGCAGGCCAACAGGGAGCUGGAGAAGGAGCUGCAGAAUGUGCUGGAGCGCAACCAGCUCCUUGAGGGCAAGCUGCAGGCACUGCAGGCUGAUUACCAGGCCCUGCACCAGCGGGAGGCAACCAUCCGGGGCUCCCUGGCCUCUCUGGAGUCUGAGCAGGCCAGCAUCCGGCACAUGGGGGACCAGAUGGAGGCAAGCCUCCUGGCCGUGAAGAAGGCCAAGGAGACCAUGAGGGCACAAGUGGCCGAGAAGGAGGCCGCCCUGCAGAACAAGGAGACCGAGUGCCAGCAGCUGCAGGAGGAGGUCGGGCGCUGCCGGCAGCUGGCAGAGGCCCGGGAGAGGGAGCUCAGGGCUCUCGAGAGCCAGUGCCACCAGCAGACCCAGCGGAUCGAGGCCCUCCUGGCAGAGCAAGGCCAACGGGGGCUCGGCGCACCUGACGACAGUGCACACCAGGAGCCAGCCUCCCCGCUGGCCCUGUGUCAGGCCCAGGUGGAGACCCAGCAGGGGGAGGCCGGGCGCCUGCCAGCUGGGGUGCUGGACCUUCAGGCCAAGCUCCAGGCAGCCCUGGGUGACCUCGAGAAGGUACAGGGCCAGCUGAGCGUGGCCGAGGCUGCUCUGAGGGAGCACAGGGUCCUGGUGCAGCAGCUGAAGGAGCAGAACGAAGCCCUCAAGAAGGCCUCUGGUCGGGAGCCGCUGCGGCGCUCGGAGCAGGAGAGGACUGAGGAGGAGGAGGAGGAGGAGCGGUCCAGGACAGAAUCUGGCUCCCAGGAAGCCCGGCUGGAACAGGCAGAGCCGCCAGAGCAGCUGCCCAGGGCCAGCCCAGCCAACGACGAGCCCAGCGUCCAUAGCUGCAUGCAGCUCACCGAGAAAAAGCAGGCCGAGGAGGCCCUGGCCCGCGCCCUGCAGGAGCUCCGUGAUGCCAAAGAGGCGGCCUCGAGGCAGCGAGAGGGCCUGGAAGAGCAGGUGGCAGGCCUGCAGCGAGAGAGGGACGGCUUGCAGGAAAGGCUGAAGGUGGCCGAGGAGGCAGCCCGCGCCCUGCCCAGCCUGCAGGCCCAGCUGGCCCAGGCCGCGCAGCGGGCCCAGAGCCUCCAGGAGACCUCACACGAGGAGCUCAAUGCCCUCAAGUUCCAGCUGAGCACGGAGAUCAUGGACCACCAGAGCCGACUGAAGACUGCCAGUGAAGAGUGCCGGAGCCUCAGGGACCAGCUUGAGGAGCGAGGCCGGCAGCUACAGGCCGCCGAGGAGGCCGUGGAGAGGCUGAAGGCCGCCCAGGUGGAUCUGGGAGAGCAGCUGAGCGGCGCCAGCCAGCGUCUUUCCGAGAGCCAGGCUGCCGUGCAGAAGAAGGAUGAGGAGGGGGCCGCCUUGCGCGAGAGCUUGGACAGGACCCAGAAGGAACUUGAAAAAGCCACGACAAAAAUCCAAGAGUAUUACAACAGACUCUGCCAGGAGGUGACAGACCGGGAGAAGAAUGACCAGAAGAUGCUCGCGGACCUCGAUGACCUGAAUAGAACCAAGCAGUACCUGGAGGAACGGCUGAUCGAGCUGCUCAGGGACAAGGAUGCUCUGUGGCAGAAGUCAGAUGCCCUGGAAUUCCAACAGAAGCUCAGUGCUGAGGAGAGGUGGCUCGGGGACACAGAGGCAAGCCACUGUCACGACUGCAAGCGAGAGUUCAGCUGGAUGGUGCGACGGCACCACUGCAGGAUCUGCGGCCGCGUCUUCUGUUACUACUGCUGCAACAACUACGUCCUGACGAAGCACAGUGGCAAGAAGGAGCGCUGCUGCCGAGCCUGCUUUCGGAAGUUCAGCGAUGGCCUUGGCUCCCCCGACAGCACCAGCUCCGGCACCAGCCAGGGGGAGCCCAGCCCUGCACUGUCGCCAGCCCAGGCUGGGCCCCAGGCCGCCAGAGGCCAAGACGCCGACUGCAGGCCGCCGGACGAUGCCGUGUUUGACAUCAUCACAGACGAGGAGCUGUGCCAGAUCCAGGAGUCCGGCUCCUCCUUGCCCGAAACACCCACCGAAACUGACUCCCUUGACCCGAACUUGCCUGAACCGGACACCAUGUCAACCUCGCUAACCCCUGAGGACACUGAAGACAUGCCACCAGGACAGGAUGCCGAAAUCUGCUUGCUGAAGUCUGGAGAGCUGAUGAUAAAACUACCUCUCACGGUGGACGAGAUCGCCAACUUUGGGGAGAGCAACAGGGAGCUGUUCGUGCGGUCCAGUACCUACAGUGUCAUCCCCAUCACCGUGGCCGAGGCAGGCCUCACCAUCAGUUGGGUCUUCUCCUCCGACCCCAAGAGCAUCUCCUUCAGUGUGGUCUUCCAGGAGGCAGAGGACACACCACUGGAUCAGUGUAAGGUCCUUAUCCCCACGACCCGGUGCAGCUCCCACAAGGAGAACAUCCAGGGCCAGCUCAAGGUCCGCACGCCAGGCAUCUACAUGCUCAUCUUCGACAACACCUUUUCCAGGUUUGUCUCCAAGAAAGUGUUUUAUCACUUGACGGUUGACAGGCCUGUGAUCUACGAUGGAAGUGACUUCCUGUAGCCUCAAGCACCUGGAUUCUAGAUUCUGAUAGUUUCACUUUAUCCACAGGAAACACUACUCUUGCUCACCUGUCACAUAAAGCACUAAAAAAAAAAAAAAAAAAAGCAUCGGCUCCGUAUGUGACCCAUGUGUGACUCUGGGAGACAGGCCUCCGGCCGCCCCUCAGCACUACGCCGUCUGGAGCGCGUGUACUCGGCACUGUGCACCAUCACUCUUAGCCCCCAUGGCUUUUAAGGGCUCAAGCAACGUUUCCCAACUGUCCUCACACCCAAAGGGACACUCUGCCAAAGGUUUAAACACUCAGGAACCUUCAGCCUCUCCCGGAGCCAUGCUGGUUUCCCGGCCUCCCAUGGAGAAUUGCACAGGCCGGCGUCAGUGAUCCCAGCUUCUGCCCGUGGAGAGAAAUGCCGCGCACUCUGCCCAGCGGGGGCUCAGGGACCCUGGGUGACCACGAGCCGGGAUGUCCUGGCCAGACCCUGGGAGUCCUCAGGCUGCAAGGCCCUCUUCCCCCGCAGAGGAGGCCACAGGGCCGUCAGGAGAGUCAGGGCGCCUGAGGUGGGGGGAGGGGCUCUCCCAAAGCCCCCACCAGCCUCUUCCGUCAGGCUCUGUCCCCUCCUGCCACACUAAAUUUAGGGUUACUCCAAAGCACAGCAACUCCGGAGGGGCCUCUAGGUGCACUUUCUUCCCGGCCCUUCUGUCUGGGAUGUCCUGUCCUCACACAAAGCCCUUCUCUCAGGCAGGCCCCUCAGUAGUUGAAAACAUCGGCCUAGAAAUCAGAACCAAAGAUGCUUGGGGAAACCGAAGCCACCACACAGAGGACACGUCCUGCAGCGACUGUCUGCGCAGACAGGCGACACCGCGACCACAAAGCAGCCCUGAGUGUGGCCCUUAGGACUCGCUACUGAGCUCCUGGGCUGUCUCUGUUUGUCAUAUAAGAGCUGCUGCCUCGUCCGCAGACAUGUUUACUAAUGAUCCUAAUCAGGGUAAGAACCACUUCCAGACAUCCGGGCCUUCUCAGCAGAAGUCUUCGGUAACUCGAGUACAACAGGCAUAAAUCAUGGAUCUGCUUGGAGUUCACUGCUUGGUCCCCACUCCCCACCCGUCUUCCCCAGCACCCCGUUUGCCCACUUCCUGUUGUCUGUGGCCCUUCUCUCCUCCCGCCGCAGGGAGCUCACCCUCCAUGGCCUCUUGGGGCCGGAGCCUGAAGGCUCGGACGCUUCACAGGUGAGCAGGCCAUCAGAUGACGGGGCCCACUUCAGCCAGGGAUGAGGGAGCGCGCCGGGCAGGGUGUCUUGGGAUCUGAGCCCAUCCCCCAGCUGGUCUCUGGUGACCAGUCAGGUCCUACCACAUGGAAGCUUCAUUCUGUCCCCCACAGUCCUGGUCAGGCUGAUGUUGAGAGCUCCAGUACAGGUCAGGGCCCCCAGACCGGGUCAGGCACAGAUGCCGCAGCCACCACCCAGCAGAGGCGACUCGUGGGGCAGGGGUGGGGGGAAGUAACCUCCAUGAUGGGCUCAGAGCUUCCCCUCAGAUAGGGGGCUUGGCCACUUGCAGUCAGCUUAGGCAGAGCGGAGGAGGGGGUCGUGAACAGAACCUUCCGGAGAGAUCAACGCUGAGAGAAGCCAAACCUCUCACGCUCUUUCCUUAGCACAACCAGCCACCUCUGGCAGAAAACCACCAGGGUCCUUGCAUCUCCCAGUGGCCAAGGCCUUGACUGUGCUCAGCAGCAAGGCAGGCUCCCAGAGACUCCCUGGCCUCAUGCAUGUCCUCACAGGUGUGCCACACGGCCUGAGGAUUGUUCCAGAGCAAGUUAUCCCGCCUUGGAGCCCACCCUCUCCUCUAGGAAGGGUAAUCGGGAUGCGUGGUUUACCACAAGAAGGAAACUAGUAGAAGAGAACCCAGAGCAGUCUGGGGUCUUGUUUUGAAUGCUUUCCCAGGAUGCCGUGGAGACCAGCCAGCUGAUGGUGUCCUCACCAUCCUGUGCAGCUAACUGCUCCUGAGUUUCCUGCGAAAGGCCUGGAACAUUCCAUCCAAGCCCCCCGGUGAACCUCUGUCACUCAGCCCGGCAGGGGACCAACUACAGCUUAAAAACCACUCGGCUCUUGCGAAGCCGGCCCAGAGCCACUCCUCCCGAAGAGCAGGGGCCCCUCGUGGUGUGUACCCCCUGGAACGUUGACUACAGUCGUUCAGAGGACUGCCUGCUCCCCCAGCAGUCACGUUCUGACUCCGCAGCCUAUUUUCGUGCUGGACCGACUCUUUUUUCCCCUCGGUACUUUGCCAUGCGAGCUCAGGUUUACUAUGCAUUAUGCGACUAGCGUGAUUUGUACGAAUAGCUUUAUUUUUAUCUUAAACAGUUUCCCGGCUCCACUGAGGUUUUUUGGGGUUGGGAUACUUAUGUAAAAAAAUGCAGAUGACAAUGAAGAUCAACUAUUAACUCUUAGUUAACUAUUAACUAUUAGUCAACUAUUAACUAUUAGCCCCAGCCAGUAGACGGAAUUAUAAUAGAAAUCAUCAAUGGGACCCCAGAUCACUAUACAACACAAAACAAAACAACAAAGCAAAACUCUGGCAGCCCCCGCUGGCCCAGCUCUUUGAAUAACAGCUGCUCGCUUUACAACACUGAUCCCGCUGUCUUGUUCACCUCUGUCUCAGGGGCCACUAACCAACCUUGCCUGAGAACGUGGCCGGAGCCCACUGUACUCCAGGUCAACUAGACCAAGAAGGAAUCUAGAACCAAAAAACCCUCCAGGGUUUGAAAAGUAGAAAAGGAAAAGCCACAUAACGUAACUAAAAAAAUCAAGGGGAAGGUUUUUCUGAAAGUCUUCAGUUCUCCCCUCUCUGUGUGGGUAAGCCAUUCUAGACUCAAAUGGAAGGAAAUCCCGAUGGGGGCGGGGGUGACGUCUCAGAGUGCUUUACGGGAUACUGGUUAGAUAGAUGUCUGCUGAUUUAUAAGUUUUGGGGGGAGUUUCAUUUUUUAAAGUCCACCUUCAUAACUACAAGUGAGAUCCCUACCCCUGGCUCCGGGGUUGAAAGGAAAGCAGAGACGCGUCCGCGAUUCAGAGAACCAGGGGUCGCCUUGCCGAGACCAGUGAGCCAGUCAGUCAUGUUUACAAAACACUUAGCAAAAGACAUUUCUUAGUGGAAACCUGGAGGGUUGUUUUUUUUUUUUUCAUUGCAUUGUGAUUCUUCCUAGGAGACAGGAAAGACUGAAUUAAUCAUGCCUUUUCCCUCCUAAUCACUUUUUUAAAACAAUAGUUUAGCUUUCAGGAGACAUGGCCAAUGAACAGGCUUCGUUAGAACCUCAUGGUGAAUCUUCUCCAGAGAUGCUCCUGCCUCUGGGGGACGCCGCUGAGCAACAUCCACGCCUCCCUUGGGCGGCCUCCGAAUCAGAAUCCCGCUUUCACUGAUGAAUCCUCAGUUCUCAAGGCCUUAGGGGAUAGUGGGUCUGGGGACCUGUUGCAUUCUUACCUGCCAAAGAAUUACCCAGAAGCACAUCAAAUACCAACACCCAUCUGCGCAGUGGGGGCCAGACUCGGAGUUGAGUUGCCCUGCCAGAGUAUUGGCUUGUACUCUGGCUACUUGGAAGGGCUCAAGCCAGCAGAUACUCAGAGGUGACCAUGUGGCCCGGGAUCUGGAUCCUUCCCUGUCUACCCCGAGGUCAGUGUUCAGACCCACUGGAACCAAGGUAUUGUUAUCAACCUACUGCCCUCCGCCACCUGAGCUGCCUGGCUCUCCUGGGCUGCUCACAGAGCGCCGUGAGCAAAGAGCACACUGCUGACUUCCCAGAACAGUGAGGUCAGGGGGAAGGUCAUGGACUUCCUCAAACCACCCUCAGUCGAUCUGUGGUACAAGGCUCAGCAAGACCACCGGGCCCGGGCAGCCAGCCGAGGAAGGAGUCACAUUCCCACUGCAACUUAGUUACUCGGGCUGGGUCAGCAGAGACCAGACACAGACCCAGAGGCGCAGGACGCAGUCACUCCUGGACCAGUCAGCCUGAGCUCGGCCUAGACGGUCCAUCCACACUCGCCCUACACCCCGCAUCCGGGGAUGACAGGGACUCCUUCGCUCGAGUGCCUCGAGCCCCACAGAGCCCCCCCAGGCCCCUUUUCCUGCAUCUCCCUUCUCCCUCCGUCUCCCUGUGCCCAGAUUCUUGUGCGGCCUCUCCUUGAAUCAGGCAGGCAGGAAGAAGGGAAGGACCGUGUUUCCUUCUUCAUCUCCUCUCUUCCCUCACCCCCACCGCAUGGAGCGCCACACCAGACACAGAUGCGCUCAACAGUGCUCAGCGAGGAUACUGGUCGGUCCCCAGGCUGGGUCAGCUAUAAGGCUGUCAGUCGUCCCAUUGGCCAAUUCGGCCAGGCACAGAAGUUCCCAAAACUCACAUGGCAGAGAAGGGCAAAGGGCAAGCCUGCAGGGGGAGGUGCGGGGAAGAUGCAGGGGAGAGGUCUCUCGAUCCUGCCCCUCCCCCCACCCCGUACCCCGUUCAUGUACUAAUGAUGCCCUCAAGUUGAGCCUCUUCCUGUCUAGUGAGCCAGUUGAGGUAAUGGAAGACUGGAUUAUCCAGGGCCCGGGACAAAGCAACGGGAGCUCCUUAGUAGCAGAACGGUCCUGCCAGAGACUGGUGGCCACGCAGGCUGGAGGCCGGAACAGGAACCAACAGAGACCCACAUGGCUGAGUGUGCUGCACUGCGGGCUGGGACCUGGGGGCCUCCGUAUCACAGCCCCCACUGCAGUGGCCAAACCACGGAGUGACCAGAAAUGACCAAAGUCUGCCCCAGGCUCUCCAGAACCCACACUCAAUGCCAAGAAUCCAGCCCAGUGUCUGCAGGCUCCGUGGCCCUGGGACGCGCCUGCGCCUCCUGGCCGUGCUGCCCAGCGGGGCUGAAGGCUGUAGAGGUUCCCCAGGGGACCCAAAAGGAAACUCUCAGCAGGUCAGCCCUUUCGGUUUGAAGAUGCGUGGGAAAAAUCUGGUGAGAGGAGCUUGCCACCCACACACCUCUGAAAAGCAAAGAGAUGGGUGAAACCUGUCACCCAAGAUGAGCAAAUGGACUUUUCUUUUGAGAGAGCAGUUGAAGCCAAAGCCAUCAGAAACCACGGGGUGAGCACAGCUAUUAUGAAAGCCAUUCAAAGUGGGUUAGGGUUGACAGAAAGGUCAGCCUUCUACGUUUCCCACACCGGUGGUUUCUGGAGGAUGGUGAAGCUGAGCACGAGUGCGAUCGCCAACCUCGGGCCUUUGAGGUCCUUCCCCCGCCCCUCCCCUGUCCUCACACGCUUCGGGGGGGAGAAGGGGGCCUGGUGUGACUUUCUCCUACAUCCUGGCACAGACUGACUGCGGUUGGCUGUGACACGGCUGCCCCACCUGAAACCUGGAAUCGACUGUCCUCUUAGCUCAAAAACAAGCAAAGGGAGUCAGGCAUCGACCCACCUGACACGUGUGAGUGUCCUCACUGAAAGGAAGGCCUCAGUGCCAGACCAGGUUUGGUUUGGGGACCGGGGCUCCCUAGAAUCAUCAAAGAGAAGGUGAUGUCAGGUCGCGGGGGGAGGGGGGGUUGGAAGGGGGCGUCCCCAGCUUUCUGCUGCCAAGGAGGUCUUUGAGUGAGCCUGGAGGAGAGAAGGAACCUUCCCGGGGAGGCGGGAAUGGCCAUGGGCCAGGUCAGUGAGGCAGGCACUGUCUUCCCCCCCAGGAGGAAGGAAGGGGUGAGGGAGGGGUGCGGGGGGCAGAGGCUAAGAGAGCAAAGAGGCGGGGCGAAAAGAAGGAUGCGUGGGAGGGGCCUUCCCGGAGGCCUCAGGGAGGGCCGGGCAGGAGUCUGGGUUAGCAGAAGUCCCCUUUCUCAUCCGAGGAAUGGCACCAUGUGGAAAACAGCAGCAUCCAUGUGGCCAAAGCCAACCAGGACAUCCAGUGAAACAGCAUUUUAGUGGAAGCAAAAGCUGGAUGGUUUACCAAACACAGAAGGCGGUGGCUGCAGACAUGGCAAAGGUCGUCGGGCCUGUACCUCUGGCUCGGGAUUGGCCUCAGGACUUCCCAUGUUCUCACAGAGAGGUCCUGAGGCAGGGCAGCCGCCGCUAUCCCCACCACCCGCCCCCCCACCCCCGCCACCACCAUGAGGCCUCUGCGUAAGAGACGCGUCCAUGUGGGGGGGCCAGAGGUCUUUGUAGAGAAGGCCAUUCUCCACAAGCUGGGAAGCCCCCCACCCCCCAGAACUGCGGGGUGUUCUCAGAGAGAAGAUCACACGUUCACACCCAUCUCAAGUCCGGUUCAUCAGGCUGCUUCCCUCACAAGUCACUGAGCAGGUCCUUGAGGGUCGCUGCCGUGUCACCGCUCUGGUUAGACCUUGAGGAAAGGGGUAAACCAAGCUCCUGGAUCGGUCCCCAGAUUUGAUUCCACCAGGCACCCUUAAAUCACGGAACCAGGACUUCUCCCUCCACCCACUGGGCCAAGCACUGCGGGGGUGGGGGGGAGUGGGGGAGGCAGAGGUGGAGAUUUCGUUCUUGGAGAAGAAGCUGCUUCUCCACCAAUACGUGAAAGAAAACUGUGCUGAGCUCUCGUGACCAUGAUUUCACUCAUGGCUGGCAUCUGUCUCCAAGGACAUAGUGCUAACCGGCAGAUCAUUUCUAAACAGAAAAACAUUCCCUCCCCCAAAUCCAAAGUGGUCCCCCUCCUGCCCAAAAUGCAAGGAUUACAGGAAGAAAUAGGAGUUCGGUACUGAUGGAUGCACUUUGGAGGAAAUCAGGCCAAACCUGGGCUCCUCACCGGGCCCAUCCCCAGAAUUCAGAAGGCCCGUGAACGUGGAUGGGGUGGGGGAAUGCCCACUGUCCCCCAACUUAGAACUAAAAUAUAGCUCUUCCCUCCAUCGUGAAUACAAAGACCAUGUCGCCCUAGUAUAUGUCAGCAAGACCUGUGAUUUUGUCACCAGUGAAAUGGACAGAUAUUUUCCUACCUAACGAGAGCGAUGACUCUCAAAAUGUCAUCGCCACUCUGA